CGGAUCAAAAACAAUCUGUUUUUUAGCUUUAACCACUUUAUUCCAGCUUGUUUGUAUUUUGGGAUUUAAUGUCGAUCCUGCUAUUCUUCAAGAUGGUUUAUGUUGUGUGUGGAUCAAAAACAUUAUACUCGACAACAUGAUGUGUCCACCCCUUGGAAUUCCUCUGGAUUGGCCAGACACUCUGGUCAACUAUUGGCCAGGGUGGAAGAAGCCGCUGAUCUUGGUGUGAUUAGCAGAACAAUGAGUAUAUUGGAUGAAGUGUGGAGGAUGUCAUUUGCACAGAAUGGGGAAACCCGCUGACAUUCCACAAAUGUUUUAGGAUUGAUAUGAAGUUUUUGUUGUUGUUAAUGAAGCUAUUUUAUUAUUAAAACAGUCACCUGUUUUUCUUCUA